rnacentral:rRNA from 1 species
GGGCGAUGGCCUGAACCGCCAGCUAGCGUGAAGGAUGACUGCCCUAUGGGUGUAAACUUCUUUUAUAAAGGAAUAAAGUCGGGUAUGCAUACCCGUUUGCAUGUACUUUAUGAAUAAGGAUCGGCUAACUCCGUGCCAGCAGCCGCGGUAAUACGGAGGAUCCGAGCGUUAUCCGGAUUUAUUGGGUUUAAAGGGAGCGUAGAUGGAUGUUUAAGUCAGUUGUGAAAGUUUGCGGCUCAACCGUAAAAUUGCAGUUGAUACUGGAUGUCUUGAGUGCAGUUGAGGCAGGCGGAAUUCGUGGUGUAGCGGUGAAAUGCUUAGAUAUCACGAAGAACUCC